AUUGAACGCUGGCGGCAUGCCUUACACAUGCAAGUCGAACGGCAGCACGGGAGCAAUCCUGGUGGCGAGUGGCGAACGGGUGAGUAAUAUAUCGGAACGUGCCCAGUCGUGGGGGAUAACGUAGCGAAAGCUACGCUAAUACCGCAUACGAUCUAUGGAUGAAAGCGGGGGAGUCGCAAGACCUCGCGCGAUUGGAGCGGCCGAUAUCAGAUUAGGUAGUUGGUGAGGUAAAGGCUCGCCAAGCCGACGAUCUGUAGCUGGUCUGAGAGGACGACCAGCCACACUGGGACUGAGACACGGCCCAGACUCCUACGGGAGGCAGCAGUGGGGAAUUUUGGGACAAUGGGCGCAAGCCUGAUCCAGCAAUGCCGCGUGCAGGAUGAAGGCCUCGGUUGGU
rnacentral:rRNA from 1 species